UAUCAAGUCGCAUUCCGAACGAGUUCCAGGGAAGAACUUUCGCGAGGUCGAGGGCGCUCCACUUUAUGAGCGGAUCAUUAAAACGGCGACGGCAUCCACACUGGAUGCGGUUUACGUGGACACCGACAGUUCGAUGAUUUCGGAAUACGCUGCCGCCUGCGGUUGCGUUGUGAUGGACCGACGAUCGCGCGCCAACGAUUACAACGGCAAUCAGUUGAUGUCGCACCACAGGAAGAGGUUGGCCGAGCUUGGAGUGAGCGCCGAUGUAUUCGUCCAACUGUUCGCGACCAGCCCGUUCAUCCGGCCAAGCACAAUAGACAAAGCCAUCAGCAUACUCAAAGAGCAUCCUUGGUUUGAUUCCGUGUUUACCUGCAAAGAGAUUCGCGAAAAGUUCCUUCGUCGUGACGCAGAGCCGCUAUACA
rnacentral:rRNA from 1 species